rnacentral:rRNA from 1 species
AGCGAACGCUGGCGGCAGGCUUAACACAUGCAAGUCGAGCGGGCGUAGCAAUACGUCAGCGGCAGACGGGUGAGUAACGCGUGGGAACGUACCUUUUGGUUCGGAACAACACAGGGAAACUUGUGCUAAUACCGGAUAAGCCCUUACGGGGAAAGAUUUAUCGCCGAAAGAUCGGCCCGCGUCUGAUUAGCUAGUUGGUGAGGUAAUGGCUCACCAAGGCGACGAUCAGUAGCUGGUCUGAGAGGAUGAUCAGCCACAUUGGGACUGAGACACGGCCCAAACUCCUGCGGGAGGCAGCAGUGGGGAAUAUUGGACAAUGGGGGGCAACCCUGAUCCAGCCAUGCCGCGUGAGUGAUGAAGGCCCUAGGGUUGUAAAGCUCUUUUGUGCGGGAAGAUAAUGACGGUACCCCAAGAAUAAGCCCCGGCUAACUUCGUGCCAGCAGCAGCCGCCGUAA